AUAUACAUAGCUCAGUUGGUAGAGCAUAAGACUCUUAAUCUCAGGGUCAUGGGUUCAAAAGAUUCCUGCAUUGCAGGGG